rnacentral:rRNA from 1 species
AUACGGAGGGUGCGAGCGUUAAUCGGAAUUACUGGGCGUAAAGCGUGCGUAGGCGGUUUGGCAAGUCAGGUGUGAAAGCCCUCGGCUCAACCGAGGAACUGCACUUGAAACUGCCAGACUGGAGUUCGGGAGAGGGUAGCGGAAUUCCGGGUGUAGGGGUGAAAUCCGUAGAUAUCCGGAGGAACACCGGUGGCGAAGGCGGCUACCUGGACCGAUACUGACGCUGAGGUACGAAAGCGUGGGGAGCAAACAGGAUUAGAAACCCCAGUAGUCC